rnacentral:rRNA from 1 species
UACGGGGGGGGCAAGCGUUGUUCGGAAUUACUGGGCGUAAAGGGCGCGUAGGCGGCCUGCUAAGUCGGAUGUGAAAUCCCUCGGCUCAACCGAGGAACUGCAUCCGAUACUGGCGGGCUUGAAUCCGGGAGAGGGAUGUGGAAUUCCAGGUGUAGCGGUGAAAUGCGUAGAUAUCUGGAGGAACACCGGUGGCGAAGGCGGCGAUCUGGACGAUGACUGACGCUGAGACGCGAAAGCGUGGGGAGCAAACAGG